rnacentral:rRNA from 1 species
UUGGGAAUAUUGGACAAUGGGAGGAAACUCUGAUCCAGUGACGCCGCGUGAAGGAAGAAGGUCUUCGGAUUGUAAACUUAUUUUAUCAGGGAAGAAACAAAUGACUGUACCUGAAGAAGAAGGACCGGCAAACUACGUGCCAGCAGCCGCGGUAAUACGUAGGGUCCGAGCGUUAUCCGGAUUUACUGGGUAUAAAGGGCGAGUAGACGGUUUAGCAAGUCAGAUGUGAAAACUUGGAGCUCAACUCCAAGCCUGCAUCUGAAACUGUUAGACUAGAGUGCAGGAGAGGUAAGCGGAAUUCCUAGUGUAGCGGUGAAAUGCGUAGAUAUUAGGAGGAACACCAGUGGCGAAGGCGGCUUACUGGACUGUAACUGACGUUGAGGAGCGAAAGUAGU